ensembl:ncRNA D2092.14 ncRNA
AAAAAAAAACGAAGGACACGUUAAUUAAGUGUUUUUUGACGUAUUUCUCCAACUGGUUUGGGUUUCAUUAGGCAUACUGGAAGGGCGUGAUAAGGGCGUGUAAAGAGGCGCCCCGUAACGCCCUCACCAGAUGAAUGUCUAGUU